rnacentral:rRNA from 1 species
GACGAACGCUGGCGGCGUGCUUAACACAUGCAAGUCGAACGAUGAAGCCGGAGCUUGCUCUGGUGAAUUAGUGGCGAACGGGUGAGUAACACGUGAGUAACCUGCCCUUGACUCUGGGAUAACUGCUAGAAAUGGUAGCUAAUACCGGAUACGACCCUCGGAGGCAUCUCCAGGGGGUGGAAAGAAUUUCGGUACAGGAUGGACUCGCGGCCUAUCAGCUAGUUGGUGAGGUAAUGGCUCACCAAGGCGACGACGGGUAGCCGGCCUGAGAGGGUGACGGGCCACAAUGGGACUGAGCCACGGCCCAGACUCCUACGGGAGGCGGCAGUGGGGAAUAUUGCACAAUGGGCGCAAGCCUGAUGCAGCAACGCCGCGUGAGGGAUGACGGCCUUCGGGUUGUAAACCUCUUUUAGUAGGGAAGAAGCGAAAGUGACGGUACCUGCAGAAAAAGCACCGGCUAACUACGUGCCAGCCGCCGCCGUAA